UGUGGUGGAUUUUUCAGUGAAACUGGCAACACUGAACAAUAAUGUGCAGAUCGUGGAGGUGAAGAAUUUUCAGGAAGUGGUGUCUGUCGGUGGGAGUUAAAACUUUUGUAAAAUACGGAUAUGCACACUAAAAUCAUUGAAGCUGCUCAACGAAAAAGCUGCUAUCAGUAGGUGUUUCGUCCGAACAAAGGUUUCUUCCCCAACAAACUUCAAUGAUUUUAAUCAUCUGCUGAAUAGUUUGUCAUGGAGACUACAAUACGUAGCCUCAAAUUGUUGGAGGAGCAGGAAAGAUUAUGGCGCCAAGAAUAUGAGGAAAAAGAAAGGCGUUUAGAAGAGGAGUACCAGCGAGAGUUGGCCGAAGUUAGAGAAGCAUUUAAGAAAGCUGCUAAGCAAAUAGAGUUGGAGUUUGCUGCAAAAAGGAAUGAGGUGAAAAAACAAUUCGGUACUGAAAAUGCUAGUGAGGUUUUACAAUCGGAACAAUAUCCAAAUAAUGAUGCUAGCGUAUCAGCACCAGUUUGCAAUACCUCCCUAUUGAAAGGAAUCAUCCAUCAACAAGUUUGUGAGCGGCAACCAAAAGCAUUAUUUUCUAAUCGUUGUUUUGAUGCUCAAAACGAUUCACGGCAAACCAGUACAGCGCAAAACAGAAUUAAAGAAAAAAAUUGGAUUUGCCUUAGGCAUUUGAGUGGCGUACAAUUAAGUAUGGAACUAAUGGCGACGACAAAACUAGUGUGCAAUAUUGGAUGCAAGAAGUGUGACGAAAGAAUUUCGAUCAAUCAAUUCAAAGAAAGCGAUAUGAAAAUGAUGUUUACAGUGAUGGUUGUAAUUUAUGAUCCUGGAGGAAAUUUCGUACACGAAUUGUUCGGAUUUUGCAGAACAUUUUUGUUAUUGUUUAUUUUUAUCGUUUUUAUUAGUCUUAGUAUAAAAAAUUGUAUCAGGUAUUUAUAUGUCCAAUUAAGUAAAACAGAUUCAGUGAGUUACCAGUUUCAC